GGGUGACGAGCGGCGGACGGGUGAGUAAUGUCUGGGAAACUGCCUGAUGGAGGGGGAUAACUACUGGAAACGGUAGCUAAUACCGCAUAACGUCUACGGACCAAAGUGGGGGACCUUCGGGCCUCACGCCAUCAGAUGUGCCCAGAUGGGAUUAGCUAGUAGGUGGGGUAAUGGCUCACCUAGGCGACGAUCCCUAGCUGGUCUGAGAGGAUGACCAGCCACACUGGAACUGAGACACGGUCCAGACUCCUACGGGAGGCAGCAGUGGGGAAUAUUGCACAAUGGGCGCAAGCCUGAUGCAGCCAUGCCGCGUGUGUGAAGAAGGCCUUAGGGUUGUAAAGCACUUUCAGCGAGGAGGAAGGGUUCAGUGUUAAUAGCACUGUKCAUUGACGUUACUCGCAGAAGAAGCACCGGCUAACUCCGUGCCAGCAGCCGCGGUAAUACGGAGGGUGCAAGCGUUAAUCGGAAUUACUGGGCGUAAAGCGCACGCAGGCGGUUUGUUAAGUCAGAUGUGAAAUCCCCGCGCUUAACGUGRGAACUGCAUUUGAAACUGGCAAGCUANAGUCNUG
rnacentral:rRNA from 1 species